rnacentral:rRNA from 1 species
GGCUCAGAACGAACGCUGGCGGCAUGCCUAACACAUGCAAGUCGAACGAACCCUUCGGGGUUAGUGGCGCACGGGUGCGUAACGCGUGGGAAUCUGCCCUUUGCUUCGGAAUAACAGUUAGAAAUGACUGCUAAUACCGGAUGAUGUCUUCGGACCAAAGAUUUAUCGGCAAGGGAUGAGCCCGCGUAGGAUUAGGUAGUUGGUGGGGUAAAGGCCUACCAAGCCGACGAUCCUUAGCUGGUCUGAGAGGAUGAUCAGCCACACUGGGACUGAGACACGGCCCAGACUCCUACGGGAGGCAGCAGUGGGGAAUAUUGGACAAUGGGCGCAAGCCUGAUCCAGCAAUGCCGCGUGAGUGAUGAAGGCCUUCGGGUCGUAAAGCUCUUUUACCAGGGAUGAUAAUGACAGUACCUGGAGAAUAAGCUCCGGCUAACUCCGUGCCAGCAGCCGCGGUAAUACGGAGGGAGCUAGCGUUGUUCGGAAUUACUGGGCGUAAAGCGCACGUAGGCGGCUACUCAAGUCAGAGGUGAAAGCCCGGGGCUCAACCCCGGAACUGCCUUUGAAACUAGGUAGCUGGAAUCUUGGAGAGGUCAGUGGAAUUCCGAGUGUAGAGGUGAAAUUCGUAGAUAUUCGGAAGAACACCAGUGGCGAAGGCGACUGACUGGACAAGUAUGACGCU